CAACCAUCAAGCCCCGCGCUUGUGUUGGGGACCUGCGGCUGCCGCAGGCCCUGAAAACCAGUGGCGGGCUCGCUGUCACACCGGGCGUAGUAGAUUAUAUCUCGCUCAGGGCGUGCUGCGGGUUCCGGCCGUAAAAAGCCUUAUUUACCCAA
rnacentral:misc_RNA from 1 species